rnacentral:rRNA from 1 species
GACGAACGCUGGCGGCGCGCUUAACACAUGCAAGUCGAACGGAAAGGCCUGCUUUCCCUUGUGGAUUGCGGGUACUCGAGUGGCGAACGGGUGAGUAACACGUGAGUGAUCUGCCCCCAACUUGGGUAUAAGCCUGGGAAACUGGGUCUAAUUCCCGAUAGGACUGCAGGGUGGUGCCUGUGUUGGGAACCUAUUUUCUAGUGGGUGGGGAUGAGCUGGCGGCCUAUCAGCUGGGUGGUGGGGUAAUGGCCUACCAAGGCGGCGACGGGUAGCCGGCCUGAGAGGGUGGACGGCCAGAUUGGGACUGAGUUACGGCCCAGACUGGUACGGGAGGCAGGAGUGGGGAAUAAUGCAGAAUGGGCGGAAGCCUGAUGCAGCGACGCCGCGUGGGGGAUGACGGCGUUCGGGUGGUAAACUCCUUUGGACCGCGAGGAAGCCACCUGGUUGGAAGGGUGGUGACGGUAGUGGUAGAAGAAGCACCGGCUAACUACGUG